GUUUCUCCAUAAUUUCUUCUUCUUCUUCUUCUCCUUUCUUCUUUGUCGUAGUUUCUUUCUUCUAUUCAAUCGGUUUCUUUCCGUUCAUUACUUUCUCUCUGAAAGGAAAGGAAAAGAAAGGGAGAGGUUACAUCACACAUACCAAAUGAAGACCUCUCUCAGGAAAUUGAGAGGUUUCGCACUUCGCCAUGCUGACCACAAGGACCGAAGAGAUCUUCACCCUUUGGCUCCCACCGAUGAGCUUGCUCUGGC
rnacentral:misc_RNA from 1 species